rnacentral:rRNA from 1 species
GGAUGAACGCUGGCGGCGUGCUUAACACAUGCAAGUCGAACGGAGUGCCUUUGAAAGAGGGAUUCGUCCAAUUGAUAAGGUUACUUAGUGGCGGACGGGUGAGUAACGCGUGAGGAACCUGCCUUGGAGUGGGGAAUAACACAGUGAAAAUUGUGCUAAUACCGCAUAAUGCAGUUGGGCCGCAUGGCUCUGACUGCCAAAGAUUUAUCGCUCUGAGAUGGCCUCGCGUCUGAUUAGCUAGUUGGUGGGGUAACGGCCCACCAAGGCGACGAUCAGUAGCCGGACUGAGAGGUUGGCCGGCCACAUUGGGACUGAGACACGGCCCAG